rnacentral:lncRNA from 7 species
AAACCCACAGUGGAGGUCUCAUGUCUCCACCCUAGUACUCUCCUUGACUCUUAAGAACAAGGACCUGGCCUAUUCCUCAUUGUCCUUCCUACUAGUCAGAAAUAAAGAUAAAACAAGAUUAUUAAGGAAGGUGUCAAUAGGGUGCAAUAGUGAGGGCUAUUUACUCCAUUCUGAGGUGAUAAGACUGGGCUGCAUCAGCUCCUGGGUCUCUGGGGAUGGGCAAGAGGGAGAGCAAGAGGCUCUUCAUUGCUGUCCUGCACUGUCAGGCAGAGUGCCCCAAACCAUGCCCCAAACCUCUUAGUUCCACUCACCCACACAGCAUUUCCUCCAGCCUGUGGAGGCUCUGGAAGCCAGCAGGUUGCUCCUUCCUAUCUCACACUGAAGUUCUCCUACUCCUCUCCCUUCUUGUUCUCCCAGCUUGACCCAGCAACAGCCCUUUGAUGAUCACAGCUGUAAUUCUUCUGUUGAUGCUACAGAAAUUGCAUUAAGCAAAGCAUAGUUUGGCCCAAUAUAAACACAUUAGUAGCUGUUGCAAUUAAAGCAUCAAAUGUUAUGCAUUUACAAUUCAUCAAGCCAUUUUCUAUCACUGGAUAAAAGCAGCUAGAUUUUUUUGAAAGUAACAGUAAUGCAAACUAUGUUAGUGAUGAUCUUACUAAACACUGACGUUUAAGACUUUUUCUUUAAAAUUGAAUAUUUUUUGUAAAUAGGACUUUUUUGACAAUAUUUCAAGACCCUUAAUUAACUACAGUGUUGCUACAAAGUACUGAGGCAAAUUAUAAGGAGAUAAUUAGUAUUUGCUUGUCUUCACAUCCCUAAUUUCAUUUUUAUCUUUUUCUGGAAUGUUACUCAUCUGCUCAUCUGUGCUUGGGCAACCGAAAACUAUUGGAGAGAUCACUGUUCCAUAGAUGAAACUGAGCUUCCCUGUCAACACAACCCAGAAACUCUUCAGAGCACUCAGACUGCUAAUUAUGCUGAAGUAUAUGCAGUAAAUGAUUAUGGUGUAGCAAAAGACAUCAUGAGAAAUCUGAACUCUUACAUUUAUAAUGGGAAAUGUAUAUGUAACUAAUGUUGCUACCUUCCCUGAAAGUAGGGAAAGAGUAGGAAUUAGGAAAAUACUACAUGUUUCUGGAUUACACAGAUGAUCGGGAAACACCCUCUUCUGGCUCUUCAGUCAGCUAAAGAAGGACGAAGUGGACAAUUUCCAUUCCAGAAGUGUGCAUGUGUAUGUGCUUAUGAGCAUGUGCACAAGUGCAUGCUUGUGUGUCUCUGGAGAAGCAUCCUGUCCUCCUUAUUGUCAGUACUGAUGCUGCUCCUGGCUCAAAAUGUGGUAAUGCAGCAAUUCAACUCUAUUUGCAGCCUUCCACACUAAACAGUCAAUUAGAGUAAUGGGAAACAUACUGUUGGUGAUCUGGCAGAGAGAUGGCAAUAAAAUCAUAUAUUGUAAUGAAAAUAUCUUCCUGGGAUAUAUGAAACAGAUCACCUGUCUUGACAUCACAUUUCUGCAUACUGUUUAAAAAUUGCUUACUGAAAAGACAAAGAUAAAACGUAUCCUGCUGUUUUCCCCAUUACACAUCAAAAUAUGCUUCUUGCAUAUUGCUAAGUGCUCUCAGAUGGAAACAGCAUAAAGGAGAAGAAAAGCAUGAGAUAUCAGCAAGAAAAAUCAAAGACAAGCCUAAAACCAGAGUUUUUAAUUUUACCAUUCUGAAGUCCAAUCACCUUGAUCAACUAAAAACCAUGAAAGACUCCACCCAUCAGACCGUAUGACAUUUCUAUUGUGGCGCUGUGUACUCAUGGAUAAUUUAAGAUGUGAGUGUUAAAGGCAAUCAGGUUUGUAUUGGUAGAUAAUGAUGAUUAAUAAUAUGUAAGAAUGAGAAAAGAGAAAAAAUAAACUGAU